CCAGCUUUGUCACAACGUGGCUCCAAACAGAUGCAUAGUUUUUCUCUUAAGUUAAAUAAGGUAAACACCAUUUUUUAAGAAACAGUGUAGAGAACAAGACGAUCAGAUUUUGGAACCAGGAUUGUGACAACAGUGAACAAUGAUGACAGUGUAAAAGUUCUGUCCAGGGAAAAUCGGGGUUGAUGAUCCUUGGCUUAUUCCUUCACACCAGAAGUCAUGGGCUUUCUCUUCUUCCUGGGAUGCUGCUGGGUUUGCUGGGAACUUCUCACAGGAAAGGGCAUCCUUGCUAGUCAAUUACUAAGGUCAUCUUUUGAAGGGUGAUCUUGAUGGGGUGGUAUGUGCUGACUCUACAUCUGGAACAUUCUGUCCAUCUGUGCUGACCAUGGAUUUGACAACCAACUCCAAGUCAUCUUCUCCAUGUAUCUCAGAGACCUAGAACUACUCCCAUGGUUGCUGGCUGUCAGAAGGCCCCCGGAUUACUUAACUGUUUGUCUCCUUAUGCUCUGGAUAUUGCUGCCCAUCUAGAUAUAGCUGAGAAGGUUAAGCAGAAAAAUAUAACAGAUGUCCCCUAGAGAGUGAGCCCCAGGAGGGCAGGACCUAUUGUCCGGUUCACUACUGCACACUGAGUGUCUCAAACAGUGCCUGAUACAUGGUAGGCCCUCAAGGAAGACGCUGAAUAAAUGGAAUAAACAAACAACUACAGAAUGAUUAGUUAAGAACAGGCAAGGUAUGGGAGCUGGGGAAGGCAGUACUGCAGAAAGGAUAACUACCCCAACCCCAACCCCUGCCCCGCUGAGAAUAAGAAUAAGUGCUGCCUGGUUUUCCAGAGUGAGCUUCUCUUUCAAGUUUCAUCAGUGAAAGACCAGGGAGAUCCUCGAUUCUGCAAGAGUCUUGCAGUUCAGUUUCUCAUCUGUAAAAUGGGACAGCAACCUUGGCUUCACCAAGAUCAUUAACUCUCCUCCGGGGGAGCUUGUAGCCUAUGGUCUCACUAAUACAUGGAAGUCAUAUCUGUCAUAUUUGUCACCAUCUUUCAUUUUUAUUUUUUUUUAGCAGUUGAGAUUGAACCCAAGCUGUUCUAUCACUGAGCUAAAUACCCCAGCCCCUUUUAUUUUUUAUUUUGAGACAGGGCCUUGCUAAGUUGCUGAGGCUAGCCUUCAACUUUUGAUCCUCCUACCUCAGCCUCCUGAGUUGGUAGAAUUAAAAGCAUGCACCACUGAACCUGGCUUUCUGCUACUUCUAACCCAGU
rnacentral:lncRNA from 1 species